rnacentral:rRNA from 1 species
CCUACGGGUGGCUGCAGUGGGGAAUAUUGCGCAAUGGGCGAAAGCCUGACGCAGCGACGCCGCGUGAGGGAUGAAGGUCUUCGGAUCGUAAACCUCUGUCAGCAGGGAAGAAAGGUCACUGUGCUAAUCAGCAGUGAAUUGACGGUACCUGCAAAGGAAGCACCGGAUAACUCCGUGCCAGCAGCCGCGGUAAUACGGAGGGUGCGGGCGUUAAUCGGAAUUAUUGGGGUUAAAGCUCUCGUAGGCGGUAUGUCAAGUCAAGGGUGAAAUCCCCGCGCUCAACGUGGGAACUGCCUUUUAAACUGGCAAACUGGAGUGUGUGAGAGGAUAGUGGAAUUCCAGGUGUAGGGGUGAAAUCCGUAGAUAUCUGGAGGAACAUCAGUGGCGAAGGCGACUAUCUGGCACAUAACUGACGCUGAGGAGUGAAAGCGUGGGUAGCAAACAGGAUUAGAUACCCGGGUAGUC